rnacentral:lncRNA from 1 species
ACCUAAUAAACCAAAACCUACAUCUCUACGUCUCUUUCUUCUCUUCUUCUUUUCUUGUUCGGGUUCACCUACACCACCACCGCCGCCGCCGCCGCCAGCUUUCUCUGCCAUCUCCGAGUAGGUUUCUUCCAUGGCUUGAGAUGUCACAGCUAAAUUUUUGUACCACUCUUUCUCAAAAGUUAAGCAUUAGCAUUAGUCAAGGUCUGAAGAAGCUCGGCUUGGGACUUGGCAGCCUGUUCAGAUUACCUGCAGAAAAUAUCAAAACAAAAGAAGAGACCAUACACAUCAGAUUGCAAUGAAAGCUGGGAGCAAAGCAAGAAACUCACAUAGCUUUUCUUAAUCAAAGUGGAAAUCUUUUUCCAAAUCCAAAAACACAUCCUAAUCACUCGUAUAAAUGAUUAAACUUCGGAGACAAAACAAUCAAACCAACUCUGCUCACGACCCACUUCAUGUACCAAAAUCAAAACAAAAUCAGAGAGAGAGAGAGAGAAAGAGCUUGAACGGAGAGGUCCAUGGCAAAGAGAGGCUGAGACUUCCCCCUCUACUUAUGAAGGACAGCCGUCUUCCGCCUUGCCACCAGCGCUGUUCCGCCAUCUCUGUUUGUCACUCGCCAUCUCUGUUUGUGGCUCGAAUCUGACUCGAGUCAAACAUUGUCAACGAAGCUUUCGUCAUGGCCGAUUGAGAGAGAUAGAGAUAGAGAGAGAGGUUUGUAUCCAGACAGGUUGAAUCGUAAGAGGCUGAAGACUUUGUAAUUUUAGGUUUAACGAUUCAAAGGAUAGAUGGAGAAGACUAAAUCGUGAGAGAGAGAGAGAGAGAGAGAGAGAGAGAGAGAGAGACGAGUAGGUUUCUUCCAUGGCUUGAGAUGUCACAGCUAAAUUUUUGUACCACUCUUUCUCAAAAGUUAAGCAUUAGCAUUAGUCAAGGUCUGAAGAAGCUCGGCUUGGGACUUGGCAGCCUGUUCAGAUUACCUGCAGAAAAUAUCAAAACAAAAGAAGACCAUACGCAUCAGAUUGCAAUGAAAGCUAUGAGCAAAGCAAGAAACUCACAUAGCUUUUCUUAAUCAAAGUUGAAAUCUUUUUCCAAAUCCAAAAACACAUCCUAAUCACUCGUAUAAAUGAUUAAACUUCGGAGACAAAACAAUCAAACCAACUCUGCUCACGACCCACUUCAUGUACCAAAAUCAAAACAAAAUCAGAGAGAGAGAGAGAGAAAGAGCUUGAACGGAGAGGUCCAUGGCAAAGAGAGGCUGAGACUUCCCCCUCUACUUAUGAAGGACAGCCGUCUUCCGCCUUGCCACCAGCGCUGUUCCGCCAUCUCUGUUUGUCACUCGCCAUCUCUGUUUGUGGCUCGAAUCUGACUCGAGUCAAACAUUGUCAACGAAGCUUUCGUCAUGGCCGAUUGAGAGAGAUAGAGAUAGAGAGAGAGGUUUGUAUCCAGACAGGUUGAAUCGUAAGAGGCUGAAGACUUUGUAAUUUUAG